AUGUUUCAAGAGCUUGUAGUCCUAGCGAUCCUCUAUGUCCUUCUCCACUACCUCACGCGAACCAUCCUCCGGACCAAGAGCGCGUCGCCGCUGCCGCUGCCUCCCGGCCCGAGAGGCUACCCGGUGGUCGGCGCGCUGCCUCUGCUGGGCCGGGCGCCGCACCGAGCGCUCGCCGCUCUGGCGAGGCUGCACGGCCCGAUCAUGCACCUGACCCUCGGCAGGCAAGGCGUCGUGGUGGCCUCCACGCCGGACGCGGCGCGCCUUUUCCUCAGGGACCACGGCGGCUGCUUCCUCGACCGGCCAGCGGACGACGUGGCGCCCACGGUGCUGGCGUACGGCGCCCAGGACCUCGUCUUCGCGCCCUACGGCCCCAGGUGGCGCCGCCUGCGCCGGGAAUGCAGCCUCGGCCUGCUCGGCCCCCAGGCGCUCACCGACUGGGCGGGCGCGCGCCACGAGGAGGUCGGCCGCAUGGUCCGCGCCAUGAGCCGGCGGGGCGCGGGCGAGGCGGUGGAGGUGCCGGAGUUCCUGUUCUGCGCGAUGGCCAACAUGAUCGGGCAGGCGGUGGUGGGCCGGCGGGUGCUGGACGAGGCCGGGGGCGAGCAAGCGAGGGAGUUCAAGGAGAUGGUGGUGGAGCUGAUGACCACGGCCGGGCUGGUGAACCUCGGCGACUUCCUGCCGGCCUUGGCGUGGAUGGACCUGCAGGGGCUCGGUCGGAGGAUGCGCCGGUUGUCGGCGAGGCUCGACAGGGUCUGGAGCCGGCUGCUGUCCGAACAUGAGGCGGCCGUGGCCCACAGUGACAGGCAGCACGGCCGCCAUCCGGACCUUGUCGACCGGCUGAUCGCAUGUCGUGGCGCCGGAGAGGACAUCACAGACCUCAACAUCAAAGCUCUACUUAACAACCUGUUCACGGCGGGGACGGACACGUCGUCGAGCACCAUCGAGUGGGCGCUGGCGGAGAUGCUGGCGAACCCGGCGAUCCUCCGACGAGCACAGGCGGAGAUGGACGGCGUGGUGGGCCGGGACCGGCUCCUCGAGGAAUCCGACGUCCCGCACAUCCCCUACCUCCGCGCCAUCUGCAAGGAGACGUUCCGCCUGCAUCCCUCGACGCCGCUCAGCCUGCCCCGCCUCUCCACCGAGCCGUGCACGGUGCAGGGGUACCACAUCCCGGAGGGCACGAGGCUGCUCGUCAACAUCUGGGCCAUCGGCCGGGACCCGGCGGUGUGGCCGGAGCCGGCGAGGUUCGACCCCGGGAGGUUCAUGACGGAGGAGGGGAGCAAGGUGGAGCCCCUCGGGAGCCACUUCGAGCUCAUCCCGUUCGGCGCCGGCAGGAGGAUUUGCGCCGGCGCGCGCAUGGGGGUGACCCUGGUGCACCACAUGUUGGGCGUGCUGGUGCACGCCUUCGACUGGGAGAUGCCGGAGGGUGGCACCGCCGGGAUGGACAUGGACGAGGAGUUCGGCCUUGCUCUGCAGAAGAAGGUGCCGCUCAGGGCCGUCGUGCGCCCGCGCCUCGCACCCGCCGCGUACCAGUGA
rnacentral:rRNA from 1 species